rnacentral:rRNA from 1 species
GACGAACGCUGGCGGCGUGCUUAACACAUGCAAGUCGAACGGUGAAGCGCCUUCCUUUUUGGUGGGUGUGGAUGAGUGGCGAACGGGUGAGUAACACGUGAGUAACCUGCCCCCUUCUUCUGGAUAACCGCAUGAAAGUGUGGCUAAUACGGGAUAUUCUGGGUCUGUCGCAUGAUGGGUCUGGGAAAGAUAUUGUUUCGGUGGGGGAUGGGCUCGCGGCCUAUCAGCUUGUUGGUGGGGUGAUGGCCUACCAAGGCGGUGACGGGUAGCCGGCCUGAGAGGGUGGCCGGUCACACUGGGUCUGAGACACGGCCCGGACUGCUACGGGAGGCAGCAGUGGGGAAUAGUGCACAGUGGGCGAAAGCCUGAUGCAGCGACGCCGCGUGAGGGAUGGAGGCCUUCGGGUUGUGAACCUCUUUCGCCAGUGAAGCAGGCCUGCCUCGUUUGUGGGUGGGUUGACGGUAGCUGGAUAAGAAGCGCCGGCUAACUACGUG